CAUGGAAAACCCCGGGAAACUGGGAUUAAUCCGUGAUAGGUCAUCUCAUCUGGAAGGAGAGAUGGCUUAAAGGGGUGCGAGAGCUUCUUUCUUGCAUUCGCUCCAGGAUGGGACUGCGGCCGAUCAGGCUGUUGGCGGUGUAAUGGACCACCAAACCUGUAACCGGUACGGGCCUUGAGAGAGGGGGCCCGGAGAUGGACACUGAGAGAAGGGUCCAGGUCCUACGGGGCGCAGCAGGCGCGAAACCUUCGCAAUGCGCGAAAGCGUGACGAGGUUAAUCCGAGUGGUCCCCGCUGAGGGGAUCUUUUGUUGGCUGUAAAAAGGCCGAUGAAUAAGGGGAGGGCAAGUCUGGUGUCAGCCGCCGCGGUAAUACCAGCUCCUCGAGUGGUCGGGGCGAUUAUUGGGCCUAAAGCAUCCGUAGCCGGUUCUGUAGGUCCUCUGUCAAAUCCAACGGCUUAACCGUUGGCCCGCAGAGGAUACCGCAGGACUAGGAGGCGGGAGAGGUGGACGGUACUCGACGUGUAGGGGUAAAAUCCUUUGAUCCGUCGAAGA
rnacentral:rRNA from 1 species